rnacentral:rRNA from 1 species
UACGAAGGGUGCAAACGUUGCUCGGAAUCAUUGGGCGUAAAGCGCACGUAGGCGGCUUUGCAAGUCGGACGUGAAAUCCCUCAGCUCAACUGAGGAAGUGCAUCCGAAACUGCAAGGCUUGAGUACUGAAGAGGAUCGCGGAAUUCCCGGUGUAGAGGUGAAAUUCGUAGAUAUCGGGAGGAACACCGGUGGCGAAGGCGGGUCUCUGGGCAACAACUGACGCUGAGGAGCGAAAGCGUGGGGAGCGAACAGG